rnacentral:rRNA from 1 species
UUCGACCUCAGAUCGAACGAGAAUACCCGCUGAAUUUAAGCAUAUUAAUAAGCGGAGGAAGAGAAACUAACGAGGAUUC